CCUUAAUAUUUUGGUGUAUAUAAAACCAUUUCUUAUAGAGAACUGGAUAAGAAGAAUUGCCCCAAGCAACUAACUCUAGAUAUAGCUCUUGCAGAAAUGUCUUGAGUAUAUCUCCAUUGAUAACAGACAAACAAGAAGACUUCUAAUAAAAGAUAGUAAAGAAAAAAAAGGAAAAGAUUAAAUCUUUUCCAUGAUAGUGCAGCAAUAUAUCAAAUGAGUACUGUAAUAAAAAAUAAGAAAAUAAUUUCAAAAUAUCCCAAACAAUACUAUUGCCAAACAUUUGCAAAUGCACCUUCGAUCUAAAUACCCAUCCUAUUGGUUCUAUUUCUACAAUACUUCUACUUGUUUUCCUUCCAGUCACCCUAGUUUAGAUGCUCAGUACCUAUCACCUAUAUUGUGCUAUCACUUAAAUGUUCUCUCUGUCUCCAGCAUCAAUCCUUACAACUUUUAUUUUAUAGCCAAAAUGAUUUUUUGAAUAGUUUUCACCAUCUCACUCCACUACUUAAAAACUUUUGAUGCUUCCUAUCGUUGAGUUUAAUAUUUAAGGAGCUCCCUAAUCUGGUUUCAACCUCGUCCUCUUAUGUCACUUUCAAAACUAGAUUAACUGUUUUCCCAUCUCAUCCUAUAUAAUACAGUCUCCAUACAUUCGCAUAAUGCAUUACCUGUAAAUGAAAUGAUUCUACUGCCUUUUCCCUGCCAACUGAAAUUAUUCUUCUUCUUCAAGGCCAAGCUAAAAUGUAUAUCCUAUCUUUUUUUCCCUUUUCCUUAUUCCUUCUUUCAUUUGAACCCUGCAUAAAAACACCCUUUAUGAUGGGAGCAAAAAUUUUUGGUAAACAUAUAUUGCUCUUUUUAAAAAAUCCUAAUGUUGACAGAACAUGUGUUGGACAAAGUUGUCUCUAGAGUUGCAGCCACCAAGAAGUCUUAUAUUAUUUUAAAAUACCCACAAUAUAUGCAGCAAGAAAACCUUUCUCUUUAAACUGUUAAAGUUUUGAAGGAAGGGACUAUGUUACUUGAACAUAGUAGGCAUUUGAUAAGUAUUUGACACUUACUUAGCAAUUAGGGACCUACUAUAUUCUUCCUCCCAUCUAAAGAAAAUCUGAGAAAGAAAAUAUAAUGCAAGCAAAUAACAGAAAAAGUGAGAAUGCUAUGUUGUGUUCCACACUCAGUUCCCAUAGUCUUUUCUCUGGGUGUAGAUGGCUUUCUUCAUCACUGAACAAGUGGAACUGGUUUGAAUAAUCUCAUUGUUGAAGACAGCCACAACCAUGAAAAUUGAUCAUCAUAUAGUCUUGUUGCCAUGUAUAAUGAUCUCCUGGUUCUGUUCAUUUCACUUAGCAUCAACUCAUGCAGGUCUCUCUAAGACUCUCUGAAAUCAUCCUACUGGUCGUUUUUUACAGAAAAAAAAAGUAUCCCCUAGUGUUCAUAUACCAUAAUUUAUUCAGUCAUUCUCCAAUUGUUGGGCAUCCACUCAGUUUCCAGUUUUUUGCAAUUAUAAAGAGGGCUGCCACAAACAUUUUUGCACAUAUCAUUUGCUUCUGACAAAUUACAAUACUCAUCUAUGUUUUAAAAAUCUCUCCAAAAUAUGGAUACAACAGGGCCAUUUUUGGCAUAGUGUGCUACUUCUCUAUUGGUAUAGUUGUAAAUUGGUCUAAACAUUCUGGAAAUCGUUCUAUUACUCUGCCAAGAGGCUAAAAUUUCCACAUACUAUGACAUUAAGAUUCUACUGUUAAGCACAUACCCAAAGAGAGUCAAGGAUAUAAAGAUAAGUCCCCAAAAUUCCAAAUCUUUACAGAAGUACCUACUAUAGUAACAAAGAAUUAGAAACAAGCUAAAUGCACUUUAAUGUAUAAUAUAUAAUUUAUAAACAAAAUAUGUGCCAUAAGAAAUAAUGGAUGUGGAGAAUUCAAAUAAACAUGGGAAGGUAAAUAACUUGAUAAAAACUAAAAUAAUCAGAAACAGGAAAAAUAUACAUGAUAACUAUGAUAAUAUAAAUAAAUAACAACAAGACAACCUGAGUAUGGUGUAAUAAAGCAUAAGAACUGUGUCCUCAGAAAAGAAAUGAAAAAAAAUUUACUUCUCUUACUUUUUGGCAGAUAUUGUGGCCUGGGGAUAGAAUGCAUAAAAUAUACAGUGGAUAAAGAAUGCAUUUUUUAUUCUGACAAAACUUUUAUUUUAAAUGAUUGUUAUAGCUUUUUAUUUAUACAACAUAUCUAUAGCUAAUUUUUCAACAAUGACCCUUGCAAAACCUGUUCCAACUUUUCCCUCUACUCCCUCUCCUAUAUGGAAGGUAGUCCAAAACAUGUUAAAUAUGCUAAAUUAUAUGUUAAAUGCAAUAUAUAUAUACAGUUAUCUUGAUAUACAAGAAAAAUUCAAUCUAGAAAGAAAGAAAAAAAUCUGAAAAGGAAAACAAGAAUGUAAGCAAACAAUAACAGAAAGAAUAGAAAUGCUAUGUUGUGGUUCACACUCAUUUUCCAUAGUGUUCUCUCUGGAUGUAGCUGAUUCUCUUCAUUACUAAACAAUUGGAACUGGUUUGAAUCAUGUCAAUUGUUGAAGAGAGCCAUAUCCAUCAGAACUGAUCAUCAUAUAAUCUUGUUGUUGCUGUGUAUAAUGAUCUCCUGGUUCUGCUUAUUUCACUUAGCAUCAAUUCAUGUAAGUCUCUCCAAGCCUCUUUGAAAUCAUCCUACUGGUCAUUUCUAACAGAACAAUAUUCCAUAACAUUCAUAUAUCACAAUUUAUUCAGCCACUCUCCAAUUGAUGGGCGUCCAUUCAAUUUCCAGUUUCUAGCCACUACAAAAAGGCUGCCAAAAACAUUUUUGCAUGUGUGGGUCACUUUCCCUCCUUUAAGAUCUCUUUGGGAUGUAAGCUCAGUAGUAAGACUGCUAGGUCAAAGGGAUUGCACAGUUUGAUAAUUUUUUGAACAUAGUUCCAAAUUGCUCUCCAGAAUGAUUGGAUUCAUUCACAGUUCCACUAAAAAUGUAUCAGUGUACCAGUUUUCCCACAUCCCCUCCAACAUUUGUUAUUAUCUUUUCCUGACAUCUUAGCCAAUCUGAGAGGUAUGAAGUGGUAUCUCGGAGUUGUCUUAAUUUGAACUUCUCUGAUUAAUAAUGAUUGGGAGCACCUUUUCAUAUGACUGGAUAUAGUUUCAAUUUCUUCAUAAGAAAAUUGUCUAUUCAUAUCCUUUGACCAUUUAUCAACUGGAAAAUGGCUUGAUUUCUUUUUUUUUCUUUCUUUUUUUUUAUUUAAUAGCUUUUUAUUUACAGGUUAUAUGUAUGGGUAACUUUACAGCAUUAACAAUUGCCAAACCUCUUGUUCCAAUUUUUCACCUCUUACCCCACCCACCUCCUCCCCCAGAUGGCAGGAUGACCAGUAGAUGUAAAAUAUAUUAAUAUAUAAAUUAGGUACAUAAUAAGUAAGUAUACAUGACCAAACUAUUGUUUUGCUGUACAAAAAGAAUCAAGACUCUGAAAUAUUGUACAAUUAGCUUGUGAAGGAAAUCAAAAAUGCAGGUGGGCAUGAAUAUAGGGAUUGGGAAUUCAAUGUAAUGGUUUUUAGUCAUCUCCCAGAGUUCUUUCUCUGGGUAGCUGGUUCAGUUCAUUACUGCUCCAUUGGAAAUGAUUUGGUUGAUCUCGUUGCUGAGGAUGGCCAGGUCCAUCAGAACUGGUCAUCAUAUAGUAUUGUUGUUGAAGUGUAUAAUGAUCUCCUGGUCCUGAUCGUUUCACUCAGCAUCAGUUCAUGUAAGUCUCUCCAGGAAUGGCUUGAUUUCUUAUAAAUUACAGCCAAUUCUCUAUAUAUUUUGGAUAUGAGGCCUUUAUCAGAACCUUUGACUAUAAAAAAUGUUUUCCCAAUUUAUUACUUCCCUUCUAAUCUUAUCUGCAUUAGUUUUGUUUGUACAAAUAUAUAUAUUAAAAAUAUAAUCAAAAUUCUCUAUUUUGUAAUCAAUAAUCAUCUUUAGUUCUUCUUUGGUCAUAAAUCCCUUCCUCUUCCACAGGUCUGAGAGUUAAACUAUCUUAUGUUCUUCUAACUUAUUUAUAAUCUCAUUCUUUAUGUCUAGAUCAUGAACCCAUUGACCUUAUCUUGGUAUGCGAUGUUAAGUGUGGGUCAAUGCCUAAUUUCUGCCAUACUAGUUUCCAAUUUUCACAGCGGUUUUUGUCAAAUAGUGAAUUCUUAUCCCAAAGCUGGGGUCUUUGGGUUUGUCAAACACAAAAUUGCUAUAGUUAUUGCCUAUUUUGUCCUAUGAACUUAACCUAUUCCACUGAUCAACUAGUCUGUUUCUUAGCCGGUACCAAAUGGUUUGGAUGGCUGCCUUUAUAAUAUAGUUUUAGAUCUGGUACAGCUUGGUCACCUUCAUUUGAUUUUUUUCAUUAGUUCCCUUGAAGUUCUUGACCUUGUUAUUUUUUCUAGAUCAGUAAAAUACUUGGGAAUUUGAUUAGUAUAGCACUAAAUAAAUAGAUUAGUUUAGGUAAUGUUGUCAUCUUUAUUAUAUUCACUCGACCUAUCCAAGAGCACUUAAUAUUUUUCUAAUUGUUUAGAUCUUACUUUAUUUGUGUGGAAAGUGAUUUGUAGUUUUGCUCAUUAGUUCCUGACUUUCCUUUGGCAGAUAAAUUCCCAAAUAUUUUAUACUAUCAACAGUUAUUUUAAAUGGAAUUUCUCUCUGUAUCUCAUGCUUUUGGAUUUUGUUAGUGAUGUAUAAAAAUGCUGAUGAUUUAUUUGGAUUUAUUUCGUAUCCUGCAACUUUGCUAAAGUUGUAGAUUAUUUCUAAUAGCUUUUUAGUAGAAUCUUGGGGUUCUCUAAGUAUACCAUGAUAUCAUCUCAAAAGAGUGAUAAUUUGGUUUCCUUGUUACUACUCUGAUUCCUUUAAUCUCUUUUUUCGUCUUGUAUUGCCAAAGCUAGCAUUUCUAAUACAAUAUUGAAUAGUAAUGUUCAUAGUGGGCAACCCUGUUUCACUCCUCAUCUUACUGGGAAUGGUUCCAGUUUAUCCCCAUUACAUAUGAUGCUUGCUGACGGUUUUAAAUAGAUGCUCCUGACUAUUUUAAGGAAAAGUCCAUUUAUUCCUAUAUUGUCUUGUGUUUUUAAUAGGAAUGGAUGUUGGAUUUUAUCAAAUGCUUUUUCUACAUCUAUUGAGGUGAUCAUAUGAUUUUUGUUAAUUUGCUUAUUGAUAGAGUCAAUUAUGCUAAUAGUUUUCCUAAUAUUGAACCAGCCCUGCAUUCCUGGUACAAAUACUACUGACCAACUACUUGGUCAUAGUGUAUUAUCCUGGGGAUGAUUUUCUGUAAUCGUUUUGCUAAUAUUUUAUUUAAGAUUUUAGCAUUGAUAUUCAUUAGGGAGAUUGGUCUAUAAUUUUCUUUCUCUGUUUUGAGCCUACCUGAUUUAGGUAUCAGUACCAUGUCUGUGUCAUAAAAGGAGUUUGGUAGGAUGCCUUCAAUCCCUAUUUUUUCAAAUAGUUUAUAUAGCAUUGGAGUUAAUUGUUCUUUAAAUGUUUGGUAGAAUUCACAUAUAAAUCUAUCUGGUCCUGGGGAUUUUUUCUUAGGGAGUUGGUUAAUAGCUUGUUCUAUUUCUUUUUCUAAGAUGGGACUCUUUAGGAUAUUUACUUCUUUCUCUGUUAAUCUGGGCAAGCUAUAUUUUGAAGAUAUUCUUCCAUUUCAUUUAAGUUGUCAUUAUUGCCAUAAAGUUGGGCAAAGUAAUUCCUAAUUAUUGCUCUAAUUUCCUCUUCAUUAGUGGAGAGUUCUCCUUUUCAUUUUUUAAGACUAACAAUUUUGAUUUUCCUCUUCCCUUUUUAAUCAAAUUUACUAAGGGUUUGUCUAUUUUGUUGGUUUUUCAUAGAACCAACUCUUAGUUUUAUUAAUUAAUUCAAUAGUUUUUUUACUUUCAAUUUUAUUGAUUUCUCCUUUUAUUUUUAGAAUUUCAAGUUUAGUGUUUGACUGGGGGGGGUUAAUUUGUUCCUUUUCUAGCAUUUUUAGUUGCAAGCCCAAUUCGUUGACCUUCUCUUUCUCUGUUUUAUGCAAGUAGGCCUCUAGAGAUACGAAAUUUCCCCUUAUUACCGCUUUGGCUGCAUCCCACACAUUUUGAUGUGAUGUCUCAUUAUUGUCAUUUUCUUGGGUGAAGUUAUUAAUUAUGUCUAUGAUUUGCUAUUUCACCCAAUCAUUCUUUAGUAUGAGAUUAUUUAGUUUCCAAUUAUUUUUUGUUCUACUUUCCCCUGGCUUUUUGUUGAGUAUAAUUUUUAUUGCAUCGUGGUCUGAAAAGGAUGCAUUUACUAUUUCUGCCUUACUGCAUUUGAGUUUGAGGUUUUUAUGUCCUAAUAUAUGGUCUAUUUUUGUAUAGGUUCCAUGAACUGCUGAAAAAGAAAGUGUACUCCUUUCUGUCUCCAUUUCGUUUUCUCCAGAGAUCUAUCAUAUCUAACUUUUCUAGUACCUCUUUGACUUCAUUCUUAUUUAUUUUGUGGUUUGAUUUAUCUAAUUCUGAGAGUGCAAGGUUGAGAUCUCCCACCAUUAUGGCUUUGCUGUCUAUUUCCUCCUGCAGCUUUCUUAAUUUCUCUUUUAAGAAUUUAGAUGCUACCACUUGGUGCAUAUAUGUUUAAUAUUGAUAUUGCUUCAUUAUUUAUGCUACCCUUUAGCAAGAUAUAGUGCCCUUCCUUGUCUCUUUUAAUUAGAUCAAUUUUUGUUUUUGCUUGAUCUGAGAUCUUGAUGGCUACCCCUGCUUUUUUGACUUCACCUGAAGCAUAGUAGAUUUUGUUCCAUCCUUUUACCUUUAUUUUGCAUGUAUCUCCCUGCUUCAUGUGUGUUUCCUAUAAACAACAUAUUGUAGGAUUCUGGCUUUUAAUCCAUUCU
ensembl:lncRNA